rnacentral:rRNA from 1 species
CCGGGCGACCGGCGCACGGGUGAGUAACACGUAUGGAACCUGCCCUAUGCAGGGGGAUAAGCGGAAGAAAUUCCGUCUAAUACCGCAUAACACCUUUAGGAGACAUCUUCUUGGGGUCAAAGGAGGCGACUCCGGCAUAGGAUGGCCAUGCGUCGCAUUAGCUAGUCGGCGGGGUAACGGCCCACCGAGGCGACGAUGCGUAGGGGUUCUGAGAGGAAGGUCCCCCACACUGGUACUGAGACACGGACCAGACUCCUACGGGAGGCAGCAG